rnacentral:rRNA from 1 species
GACGAAUCGUGCGAACGUUGUUCGGAAUCACUGGGCUUAAAGGGCGCGUAGGCGGGCUGACAAGUCUGGGGUGAAAUGCCGCGGCUCAACCGUGGAACUGCCUUAGAUACUGUCGGCCUCGAGGAAGGUAGGGGCAUGCGGAACUGUAGGUGGAGCGGUGAAAUGCGUUGAUAUCUACAGGAACUCCGGUGGCGAAAGCGGCGUGCUGGACCUUUUCUGACGCUGAGGCGCGAAAGCUAGGGGAGCAAACGGGG